UCAGAAAACCCAAAAAGGCUCAGAUCACCAAUCAAACACUCGAACCUUGCAAUUUGCUAAAGUUCAGUGUGUUACAACAAAUCUAAACCAAAUUAUAACAAAACUAUUAUUGAUAUAUUUAUGAACUGGUGUUACAAUUAAGUACCAAGGCAAUAAUAAUAAAAGAACGACAUUUUUUUUACAUUUUCUACCUUGAAUUUUUUUGCAUAUCAUCAUUUUCUCUCAUCUUAUCAUUCUCUCUCUCUCUCUUUCUCUCUCUCUCUCUCGCUCUCUCUCUCUAUCAUAUUUCUAGUCACUAACAGUCAUACA
rnacentral:lncRNA from 1 species